GGGGCGGGCGGAUAGCUUAAUUAUAUGGUAAAAUACUUCUGUAACCACCUCCUACAUUAAGUAAUAGAACUUUAUCAAGUAACCCAGAAGCCCUCCAUGUACCAAAUCUCAGACACAGCCCUCUAAUAAUAACUACUGUCUUGACUUUAUAGUAAUCACUUCUUUGCUUUUCUUUAUACUUUUAUCACCCAAAUGUAUAUCCUUAGAUACUUUAAUCACCGUUCCCCCCCCCCUUUUUUUUUUUACUUUACAUGUCUUUUAAGUCUCUUUUAAUCUACAGGUUACUCUGUGCCCCCUUCCCCCCAACUCAAUCCUUUUCAUUUUCUUACAAUUUAUUUGUUGACUUAUAGGAUUUUUAAUAGUUUGGAUUUUGCUGAUUGUGUACUUACAGUUCAGCAUGUUGCCUUUUCCUCUGUAUUCCCUGUAAAUUGGCAGCUGGAAUCUGAGGCUUCAUCAAACUCAGGUCAGAUACCUUUGGCAAGACUAUAGGCAGUGUUGUGUUCCUUCAUUAAAAAAAAAAAAAAGAGGCCAAUAAUGCCUGGUUUUCACUUUUUUAAAAAAUAUUAGCAGUGUUGUUGUUCAGUGCCGAGACCCAUUAAUUCAUUAGGGGGUUGCAAAGUAGUGAUAGCUUAUCUUCUUUGUUUUGUUUGUUUGUUUUUUAUUCUUUGGAAUAAUUUUAUAAAGAAAUCUUUUCCCUUAUCUACUCUUUGGUUACUUAGUGGUAUAGUUCAUAUAGGGAAAGCAGGAUAAAUGCUUGAUUCUUUCAUUUUAUAUACCCAGUUUUCAAGGUAAUGAGUUGAUUAGAAGGUGAAUAAUUAGCUUUUAAAAAAAUAUAUCGUUAUGAACUCAUAGAUUUAAACAUAUUUGAUAAGUUUCAAUCAUUGCAAUUGUUACUCUUAUUUCAGCUUCAGAUUGUCCCAUAUUUGGCCAAUGGAAACUUCUUUUAUCUGAUUCUGAGCCCUUUUGAUGUGGCAUUGGUAGUAUUUGAUAGCUUCCAUGCUAUCUGAUGUAUCAAUAUGUUCCAGGACCAUCUCAUACAUUCUUGCCACACACUUGGAAUCAGUCAUUUUUUUCAAGAAGUCCUGGUUUCUUGAGAAACAGCAUUGCAAGUCUGCAAUCUGGCUGGUAGAGAUACUUAUUACAACUCAGUUGGUCAUUUUUUCUAGGCAGUAAGUAAAUAAAUAUUUAUAUUCAUGUGUAUAUACAUAGAUGCAUGUGGAGAAAGAGAGAAACCCUCAUGAGUUCGUACGGAUAUUUCCAAUUUAAAUUCAGGGCUAUGGGGUUUUUUCUUUUUAUAUUAGUAAAGUACUGUCACCUAUAUCAAGAAUUCUGGUUCUCAGGGACAAGGAAAAUGAUAGAAAUAUUCUAUAGUUACUUAUUUGGUUUAGCCCAGAUUAUACAUACAGUACAAGUGUUACUGAAACACGUAAAAAUACAUUGUUGUUUGCUAAUCGUAUCACUCACCCCAGUUUUCUAUGAUUGUACUAUAUGUACCCAUAACCCAUUGCCGUCAGUCAAUUCCAACUCAUAGCAACCCUAAAGGACAGAGUAGAACUGUCCCGUCAAGUUUCCAAGGAGCUCCUGGUGGAUUCAAACUGCUGAUCUUUUGGUUAGCAGCCACAGCAAUUAACCACUACGCCACCGGGGUUUUCCACUAUAUGUACACUCUCAGAUUAUAUAGCUACUUUCUUGAGUUCUGUCACUUCAUUUCUGAGGGUUUCUAGUUUUUAUUUAUGUGGUUCUUUCCUGCCUUUUGGAUUAUUUUGAAGUAGAAUGUUUCACUUUUCAUCUGUUUUUUGAGUACUGUGUGUUUUUCUCGUAAACUUUCAUUGUCUUUAGGGUAUAGAAAUUUGUAUGUGAAUACAGUUUUUCUGAACAUUUAGAAGGAGGUUCAGGGUAGUUUUUCUAACUUAACAGUGCUCCCUCUUCUGGUUUUGUGUAGUGCUUAAAAAUAUGGUAGCUUGCUUUCUUAGAUUUCCUGUCUCUCUUUUCUUCCACCACUUAUAUCUGGAUCUUUUCUUUCCUUAAUGUCAGUUCCCCUUUUGCUGCUCAAUUUUUUCUCCAAUCCCAGCAGUUUCUUUGCAGUGGGGCUCUAUUCUGGAAGGGAGUAGUGAAGGGGCAGAUUUGAAAGCUCAUGAGGCUGACUUUUCCAGCCCCUUCGCAUCUCACCACAGCCCCCGUUUAUUCACACAUUCGUGAAGUGGGUAAAACCCUUUCCAGCUUUAGCCCCCAUUCUCAAAUUGGCCUGCUAGACUUUCCAGUGACUGACUACCUGUUGGCUAUUUUGGUGUUCUCUUCCCUCAGGUCAGUCUCCACACUGCUUUUCACUAUUUUCCCCUGCCUCAGAUGGAUAACACUCGGACCUUGUGGGUCUCAGUGGUUUGUUCCCGCCUGUUUGUAUUUUGGGGUCAACCCUGGUGGUGUAGUAGUUAAGAGCUGCAGCUGCUAACCAAAAGAUCAGCAGUUUGAAUUCAUCAGGCGCUCCUUGGAAACUGUAUGGGGCAGUUUUACUCUGUCUUAUAGGGUGGCUAUGAGUCGACAUCAACUUGACGACAAUGGAUUUGGGGUAUACUUUGUCACUUAGUUAUGUUGUUUGGUGUAUUUUAAUGUGGCAAUUUGGGACGAUCCAAAAACUGCAUUGCCGUAGCUGUCAUUUUCUUCCCAGGAUUCCCCUAUUGAACCAUUUAGCUGCAUUUAUCACUGUUGAAUACUCCUUGAAACUACUCUGACCUCUUUUCUUUAAGCGAUGUUAUACUCUCUUAACUCUUUUAUAUGAUCGAUUCAUUCUUUGUACCUUUCCAUGGACUCAUCUUCCUUGACUCCUCUACCUUUAAAAUGUAAUAGGUCCCUAAAAUUUUACCCUUGACUUACUGCUUGUCUCACGUUACACAUUUUCAAUGUGUGAUCUCAGCCACGCUCUUGGUUUCAACUACCAUCUGUAUGCUGAUGACUCUCCAAACUAUAUCUCCAUAUCAGACCCUUCAGACUUAUAUAUGCAGUUGCCAGUCGGCCAUUUCCAGAUUUUCCACAGACAUCUCAAACUCGCUAUGUCAAAGACUACAUUAUCUUUCCCUUAAUACACCUGUAUUACCUUUCUCAGUUGUUGCCACCCAGUCACUUGAGCUAGAAAUCUUAAGAGUUGUCUUUGUCCUUUUUCCUCCUCCUUCUCCUUCCCCAUAAUCAAUUGUGCUAUCACUCCAUUUGUUUAGGCCUUUCUCUCUUCACUGAACUGUCCUCAUCUUCCACAAGAAACUAUUUAACAAAAAUUUAAUGUGUUCCAUAGUAUAUUUGCUUUCCUACUGCUUACAGUUAAAGUGAGCAACUUUGUUUUUUUUUUUUAAGGAAAAGCAAAAGUGUCUGUGGAGAGAGGUUUUCUUUUUUUCAUUCAUAAUGAAAAUACCUUUAACCAUUCUAGCAAAAAGGUGUUCAUUCUCGCAACUUAAUUACCAGUUGAAUAGAAGAAUGUUAACGAGAAAAUUUACACUGCUUUUCAAUCACUAAAAUACUAAUAUCUGUAUUUAUUUGCAAGUAGAAAUAUAUAAGCAGCCUUCAAAUAAUUUAUCCUUGAUAUGACGUGAUGUGAAUACCCGUAAAGGUAGGUGCUAUUAUCAUUCCCACUUUAUAUAAGGAUAAAUUGAUGUUCAAAAAAAAUGAGAGAAUUAACUCAUUUAGUGUUACAUUGUGAAUUGGGAGUAGAGCUGGGUUAGAAUUUAGUUCAUUCCAGCCUGACCCAAGUCAUGGCCUUUUCAAUCACCUCAUAUGCACGUGAAAGCUGGUCAAUAAGAAAGGAAGAUUGAAGGAAUAUUGAUGCAUUUAAAUUGUGAAAUGCAUGAAAAAUAUUGACCGUACCGUGGACUGCCAGAAAAACAAAUCCGUUUUGGAGGAAAUACAGCCAGAAUGUUACUUAGAAGUGAGCCUGGCGAGAUUUCAUCUUGCUUGCUUUAGAGACAUCAGGAAAGACUAAUCACUAGAAAAGGCCAUGAUAUUUGGUAAAGUGGAGCAUCAGCAAAAAUGAGGGAAACCCUCCAUGAGAUGGAUUGACACAGUGGCUGCAACAACGGGUUCAAACAUGCUAAAGAUUGUGAGGAUGGUGUAGGACCAGACAGUGUUUCAGUCUGUUAUACAUAAGGUUGCCGUGAGUCAGAGCUGACUCAAUAGCAACAACACCACUAUGGGAGUCCCUGGCAUAAACAAUUAAUGUCCUUGGCUGCUAACCAAAAGGUUUGAGGUUUGAGUCUUUAGCGGCCCCCCCAGAAGAAAGAUCUGGCCGUCUACUUCCAAAAAAUCAGCCAUUGAAAGCCCUAUGGAACACAGUUUUACUCUGACACACAUGGGCUUGCCAUGAGUCAGAAUCAACUUGAUGGCAACUGUUUUUUUGUUUUGUUUUGUUUUACUAUGUGUCAGGUCCUGCACAAGGAACUGAUGGAGAUAGAUGAAUAAGAUGUAAUUACCUCCACACUUUUGGCCUUUCUUUCUGUAAUGUUGGAAAUUGGCUUGGGCUGGACAUUUCUAAACAUAAUAGCAUCGUUACCAAGACAGUUUUCUCUCUCUCACUCUCUCUCUUUUUUUCUGGAGCUGUGAUUUUAUUCUUUUAAAAAAUUUUUUUUGUUGAGCAUAUACACAGCAAAACAUAACACCGAUUCAACAGUUUCAGUGACAUUGAUUACAUUCUCUGAGAUAUGCAACCAUUCUCACCCUCCUUCUCUGAGUUGUUCCGCCCUCAUUAACAUAAACCAACUGCCCCCUAAGAUUCCUAUCAAAUCUUUUGAGUUGCUGUUGUCAAUUUGAUCCUAUACCAAAAAAAAAAAAAAACCCACUUUUUUUUUUUUUUUUUACAGAUAGUUCUUAAAAAAGCAUAAUGCUCAAUGAGCCAGUUUUCUUAAUGGGCAGGCUGUCAAAAUAUCUCCUGGUAAUGGGGGGAACCUGGCCCUUUCCUGGGGCACCCCCCUCUACUAGGGUGCAAGGGGAACAUCCUAGGCUUACACCUGUGCCCUCCUCCCUCACCCUGCCUGCUGCUGGUGGAAGUGGUGUCUUUGUUUCUGGACACUUCCACUUCUUUUCACAUUGAAAUCAAGUUAAUAAUAAAGUUUUUCACUGUAAAAAAAAAAGAAAUCUCCUGGUCACUUGUAGUCUCACCUUUGCUGGCCUCACCCAGGCCUAGUCUCUCUCUAUUUGAGUAUGGUACUGCCCCUCCCUUGGCCCUUUCAGACACCUUCAGCUCCAUUACCUUGUAGGGCUGGAGUGCAAAAGUCUGAGGAAGUUAUUCUGCGUAUCCAGGGUAGUUGCUUAGAGGCAUUAUUUUAUUGGUUUGUUUUUCUUAAUCCUAUAGAAUCUGAACCAAAAGUUUGCAUUUGAAACUAUUUCGAGGGUUGGUAUGUCAUAACUUGCUUAUGAUGUUCACUACAAAUUUCUUAGCAUAACUUAUAGGACUCUCCAUCAUCUGACUUCGGCCUACUUUACCUAUUAAUUUCUUGCCACUCAUUGCUUCAUGCUUCAUGCUACUCCAGAAUCUUUAAAUUGCUUGUAUUUCCCAGAAGGAACUACAUGCCUCUGUGUCUUUAUUCGCUCUGAUUUGGAAUUCUCCUCCUUCUGCCAUGCCUACCUCUAGCUCCCUUGAACUCCCAUAUGAUACUAAUCUCUACCAUUGCACUUAAUAUAUUUUGUUAUAAUUACUGGGUUUAUCUCCAGAAUUUACACUGGUCUUGCUUCCUCUUUAAAUCCUAUAUUCAUUCUCCGUUCUACGUUUUUUGCAUAAAACUUUUAGUCCUGCCAUUCUACCUGAGAGUUAAAUUCCAGACAUGGAGAAAGUUGCUAACUGCUACCCCUAGGGAAAUUUGUUUAAAAAAUAACCUUUCCAAAGUAAUGUAAGUGUUAAGUAACAGAGAUGGCAAUUGAAUUCCAGGUUUCUUAGUCUUAGCCCUCAAUUUUUUCAUUCAUUCAUUACCCUGGCAUUAUUCUCAGAGCACAGGUAUAAAAACCUUGACAGGUAUAAAAAGUUGACUCUUCAACUUUUGUGUUUUUUCCCACUUUCCCAACUGACUUGAAUGCAGCAUUUUUUUUUUUUUUAAUCAUGUUUUGAUAACAUUUUAUUUGAUUCUUUUGCUCAGGUUACUUUUUCUACUAAUUAUCCUUAGAAGUGGUUUUCUACCUACAGCAUAAGCUUUAAGUUAGGUAUCUUAAAAAUAGGAAUCUCUCUUUGCAUUCAAACCAGCAAAAUUAACUUUUAAGUGGAGGUGCAUAUGUUUCAGAAUAGAGAGUGAAAGUAACAGUUUACACAUGCCUGGUUACAUUUUAAAGUAAACUUUGCCAAAAUUCUCUUCAUUACUAGUAAAUUUUUCCCUUCAAUAUGUCUGAAUGAAAAAAACAAGAUUAUAUUUCUAAUGUUAUAAUGAUAUAGUUUCUUUGUUUCUAAAUCAACAAAUUAACCAUAUCAUAUAUUAAAAAAGGAAAUAUUUUCAUAUUUUACUUACUCCAACCACCAAAUUUAUCUACUUCUUCCUUCCACGCAUCCAGAACAGGGAGGAAAAAAAAAUGUCCUUUAAUUUUUUUUUCUAAAUUUUAAACUUUUCAGAAAUUUAACAUCUUUGUUAUCCUCAGUUAGUUUUCUUGGGAAAUAUCCUAUCCAUGUGCAUGUGUCUGUGUGUGUGAGAGAGAGAGAAAGAAAGGGAGGGAGGGAAGGAAGGGAGCUGGGAUAGAGGGAGGGAGGGCAAAGAAGGAGUGGUGUUAAGGAGGACUGGGGCAUUAAAUGCUACUUAGCUGGCUUGAUACAAAUCCCCAGAGUUAGUACCUUUGUCAAAAGUUAGGAUUUACUGUCUUUCUUGAAUUUUAAUUUUAUCUGUAAUAGUAUAGUAAUUGUGAUAUACUUAACCAAUUAUGUGAUAUAGUUACAUAGUGCUUUCCUAUUUUAGAUAAUAGCAAUUUAUUUGCUUUCUUUAGGUGGUUGCACACUGUUCCUGUGUUGUGGGUGCUUAGGUGAAAUUAAAAGCGCUUUUUAAAUUUUAUUCAUUCAUCAAAUAACUGUGGAAUAGAGAAUACUGUAUGCCAGAUGUGCUGCUUAUUUCUAUAGAUAACAUGGGUGAACAAAAAAACAAAGAGCCAUUUUGCCUUCCUAGAUUUUGCAGUUUACUUGGGGAAAGGAAGAUUUAGAUUAGUAUUUAUAUAUUAUUUUAAAUUGUAAUUUGGGAUAUUUGAGAGAAAACAGCGUUCUCUAAAACAUAUCAGAGUUUCUAACCUAGUAUGCUAUAAGGAAUAAGGGAACCAAUAGAUAUUUUUUAAGUAGCUGGGAUAAGAUGAUUGAAUUUGUAAAUUUCGGUGGUAAUAAGAAGGAUGGACUCGAGAGAGGAUAUACCAUUGGAAGAGAAAUACAGCUUGUUGCAGUCAUGCUGGUGAAAGAUGAUGAGGGCCUGGAUUUUGACUGUGCUGAGAUGUAUAGAAAGGGCCAGAUUUCAGAGGUAUUUAAUAGGAUUUGGUCAUGUAGAGAGAAGCCAAGAUUUCAAGCCUGGGAGACUGGUCAACUGAUGUAAAUGUCCAAAUAUUCAGACCUUAAAUAGACUAGCAUAAUCUGGAGUUAAAAUUUAGAGUGGAUAUCAUAUCCCUCAGACAGUCUGCUAUUUAUUUAUUUAAAAUAGGAAUUAUUUAAUUAUUUUAAAAAGUUUUUUAUUGUACUUUAGAUGAAUGUUUACAGAACAAACUAGUUUCUUAUUAAACAGUUAGUACACAUAUUGUUUUAUGACAUUGGUUAAUAACCCCAAGACAUGUUAACACUCUCCCUUCUCAACUUGGGUUCCCUAUUACCAGCUUUCCUGUUCCCUCAUGCCUUCUAGUCCUUGUCCCUGGGCUGGUGUGCCCCUUUAGUCUCAUUUUGUUUUAUGGGCCUGUCCAAUCUUUGGCUGAAGGGUGAACCUCAGGGGUGACUUUAUUACUGAGCUGACGGGGUGUCCAGGUGCCAUACUCUCAGGGUUUCUCCAGUCUCUGUCAGGCCAGCAAGUCUGGUCUUUCCUUCUGAGUUAGAAUUUUAUCCUACAUUUUCUCCAGCUCUUUCUAGGACCCUCUAUUGUGAUCCUUGUCAGAGCAGUCAGUAGUAGUAGCCAGGCACCAUCUAGUUUUACUGGACUCAGUCUGGUGGAGGCCGGGGUAGAUGUUGUCCAUUAGUCCUUCAGACUAAUCUUUUCCUUGUAUCUUUAGUUUUCUUCAUUCUUUCUUGCUCUCGAAGGGGUGAGACUAGUGGAGUAUCUUAGAUAGCCACUUACAGGCUUUUAAGACUCCAGACACUGCUCACCAAAGUGGAAUGUAGAACUUUCUUUAUAAACUAUGUUAUGCCAGUUGAGCUAGAUGUUCCCUGAGAACAUGGUCCCCACAGCCCUCAGCCCAGCAAUUCGGUCCCUCAGAGAGUCUGGAUGUAUCUGUGGAACUUCCGUAACCUUGCCUUGUACAAGUUGUGCUGGUUUCCCGAGUAUUGUGUACUCUUACCCUUCACCAGAGUUACCACUUAUCUAUUGUCUAUUAAGUGUUUUUCCAUUCCCACCCCUACCCUCCCUCAUAACCAUCAAAGAUUGUUUCUUUUGUGUGUAUACCUUUUCGUGGGUUUUUGCAUUAAUGGUCUCAUACAAUAUUUGUCUUUUUGUGAUUGACAUUUCUCUCAGCAUAAAAAACCAAAACCAAACCCAUUGCUGUCUAGUUGAUUCCGACUCAUAGCGACCCUAUAAUGUCCUCCAAAUUCACCUGUGUUAUGAGGUGCUUCACAGAUUCAUCGUUAUCCUUUAUUGUUGCAUAAUACUCCAUCGUGUGUAUGUACCACAGUUUGAUUAUCCAUUCAUCUGUUGAUGGGCAUCCAGGUUGUUUCCAUCUUUUUGCUAUUGUGGACAGUGCUGCAGUGAACAUGGGUGUGAAGUGCCUAUGCAUGUGACAACUCUUAUUUUUCUAGGAUAUAUUCCUAGAGUGGGAUUGCUGGAUCAUAUGGUAUUUCUAUUUCUAGCUUUCUAAGGAACCGCCAUAUCCUUUCCCAAAAUGGUUGUAUCAUUUUCCAUUCCCACCAGCAGUGCAUGAGUUCUGAUCUCCCUGUAGUCUCUCCAACAUUUGUUAUUUCCUGUUUUAUUGAUUUGUACCAGUAAUGCCUGGGUGAGAUGGUGUCUCAUUGUGGUUUUAAUUUGCAUGUCUCUAAUGGCUAGUGAUUGCAAGCAUUCCCUCAUGUGUCUGUUGGCCACGUGAGUGUCUUCUUUGGUGAACUGUCUGUUCAUUUCCUUUGCCCAUUUUUUAAUUGGAAUAUUUGUCUUUUUGUUGUAAAAUUGUUGGAUUUUCUUAGAGAUUACACCUUUGUCUGAUUUAUAAUAGUCAAAUUUUUUUCCCCAGUCUGUAGGUUCUCUUUACUCUUUUGUUGAAGACUUUUGAUGAGCAUGAAACCCUGGUGGUGUAGUGGUUAAGUGCUAUGGCUGCCAACCAAAGGGUCGGCAGUUCGAAUUCUCCAGGCGCUCCUUGGAAACUCUAUGGGGCAGUUCUACUCUGUCCUGUAGGGUCGCUAUGAGUCAGAAUCGACUCAAUGGCAUUGGGUUUGGUUUGGGUUUUGGUUUGAUGAGCAUAAGCGUUUAAUUUUUAGAAGAUUCCAGUUAUCUAGCUUAUCUUCUGGAGGUUGUGGAUUGUUGUUUGUGGUUUGUAUCUUGUUAAUGACGUGUAUUAGGGCCUCUAGUGUUGAUCCUACUUUUUCUUCUAUGAACUUCACAGUUUUUGGCUUUAUAUUUAGGUCUUUGAUCCAUUUUGAGUUAGUUUUUGAGUAUGGUGUGAGGUAUGGGUCCUGUUUCAUUUUUUUUUGCAGAUGAACAUCCAGUUUUGCCAGCACCAUUUGUUUAAAAGACUGUCUUUUCCCCAUUUGAUGGACUUUGCGCCCUUGUCGAAGAUCAGGUGACCAUAGGUGGAUGGGUUUACACCUUUGUUCUCAAUUCUGUUCCAUUGGUCAAUGUAUCUGUUUUUGUACCAGUACCAGGCUGUUUUGACUACUGUAGUUAUAUAGUAGGUUCUGAGGUCAGGUAGUGCGAGUCCUCCUACUUCAUUUUUCUUCAGUAGUGCUUUACUUAUCCAGGGCUGCUUCUCUUUCUAUAUAAAGUUAAUGAUAGGUUUUUCCAUCUCUUUAAAGAAUGUUGUGGAUAUUUGCAUCAGGAUUGCAUCGUAUUUGUAAAUCUAUUUGGGUAGAAUUGUCAUUUUCACAAUGUUGAGUCUACUUAUCCAUGAGCAUGGUAUGUUUUUCCAUUUAUGUAGAUCUCUUGGUUUCUUGCAAGUAGUGUUUUGUAGUUUUCUUUGUUUAGGUCCUUUAUGUCCCUGGUUAGAUUUAUUCCUAAGUAUUUUAUUUUUUUAGGGGCUAUUAUAAGUGGUAUUGUUUUCCAGAUUUCCUUUUCAUUGUUCUCUUUAUUGGUGUAUAGGAAUCCAACUGAUUUUUGUAUGUCUAUCUUGUAUCCUGCUUAUUUUUAUCUUGUAUCCUGCUUAUCUGCUGAAUCUGUUAAUUAGUUCCAGUAGUUUUCUCAUGAACUUUCUUGGGUUUUUUACAUAUAGUAUCAUAUCAUCCACAAAUAAGGACAAUUUAACUUCAUUACCAAUUUGGAUGCCCUGUAUUUUUUCUUGCCUUAUGGCUCUAGCUAGAACUUCCAGCACAAUGUUAAAUAGGUGUCUUGUUCCUGUUCUCAAGGGGUAUGUUUUCAGCAUCUCUGUGUUAAGAAUGAUGUUGGCCAUUGGUUUUGCAUAGAUGCCCUUUAUUAUGUUGAGAAAUUUCCCUUGUAUACCUAUUUUAUUGCGUUUUUCUCAGAAAUGGGUGUUGGACUUUGUUGAAUGCCUUUUCUGCAUCAAUUAAGAUGAUCAUGUGAUUCUUUUUUCUCCUUUUAUUUAUGUGGCAGAUUAUGUUGAUUGAUUUUCUAAUGUUGAACCAUCAUUGCAUACCUGGUAUGAAUCCUGCUUGGUCAUGGUGUGUGUGUAUAUAUAAUAUAUAUAUACAUAUAUGUAUGUAUAUAUAUAUAUAUUUUUUGAUAGGCUGCUAUUGGCUAGAAUUUUGCUGAGAAUUUUUGCAUCUAUAUUCAUGAGAGAUAUUGGUGUGUAAUUUUCUUUUUUGGUGAUGUCUUUGCCUGGUUUUGGUAUCAGGGUUAUAUAGCACUAGGUGCACACAUCAAAAAAGAAGAAAGGGACUGGCUUCGUAGAAUGAAUUCGGCUUCCUUUUCUGUGUUCUGAAAAAGUUUGAGUAGUACUGGAGUAAGCUCUUCUCUGAAUGUUUAGUAGAAUUCUCCAAUGAAGCCAUCUGGGCCAGGGUUUUUUUUGUUUGUUUGUUUGGAGUUUUUUAAAUUACCUUUUCAAUUCCUUCUCUUGUUAUGGGUGUGUUCAGAUUUUCAACAUCAUUUUCUGUUAGUUUGAGUAGGUAGUGUGUGUGUAGAAAUUUGUCCAUUUCCUCCAGGUUUUCAAAUUUGUUGGAGUAUAGUUUUUCAUAAUAAUCUGUUAUGAUCUUUUUUAUUUCAGUUGGCUCUGUUGUGAUGUCCCCCAUUUCAAUUCUUACUUGGGUUAUUUGCAUCCUCUCCUGUUUUUCUGUUAUCAAUUUGGCCGGUGGUUUGUUGAUUUUGUUGAUCCUUUCAAAGAACCAACUUCUGGUUUUGUCGAUUCUAUUUUUCUGUUGUCUAUUUCAUUUAUUUCUGCUCUGAUCUUUAUUAUUUCCUUUCUUCUGGUGGCUGCGGGCUGCUUUUGCUGUUCUCUUUCUAUUUGUUCAAGUUGUGUAGCUAAUGUUUUGAUUUUGUCCCUUUCUUCUUUUUUGAUGUGUGCACCUAGUGCUAUAAAUUGACCUCUGAGGACUGCCUUUGCUGUGUCCUGAAGGUGUUGGUGUGAUGUGUUUUCAUUCUCGCUUGAUUCUAGGAAUUUUUUUAUUCCAUCUCUGAUUUAUUCUGUUACCCAGUGGUUUUUAAGCAGGGUGCUAUUCAGUUUCCAUGUAAUUGAUUUUUUUCCCUUGCUCUUCUUGUUUUGAAUUUCUACUUUGAUGGCGUUGUGAUCAGAAAGAUCCUUUGGAUUAUCUUAGUGUUUUGGAUUUUAUUGAGGGUUGCUCUUUGGCCUAAAAUGUUCUCUCUUCUGGAGAACGUUCCAUGUGCAUUGGAAAAAAAUGUGCACUUUGCAGCUGUUCAGUGGAAUGUUCUGUAUAUGUCUAUGAGGUGAAGUUGGCUGAUUGUGCCAUUAGGUCUUCUGUAUCUUUGUUGAGUUUCUUUCUAGAUGUUCUGUCCUUGACCAAGAGUGGUGUGUUGAAGUCUCCUACUAUUAUUGUGGAACUGUCUGUUUCUCUUUUCACUGCCAUUAGAGUUUGUUUUAUGUAUUUUGGAGCCCUGUCAUUGGGUGCGUAGAUGUUUAUUAUGGUUAAGUCUUCAUGAUGGAUCAUCCCUUUAAUCAUUAUAUGGUGCCCUCCUUUGUCUUUUAUGGCAGAUUUUGUUUUAAAGUCUGUUUUAUCUGAGAUUAGUAUGUUCUUUUUUGGUGGUUAUUUGCUUGAUAUGUAUUUUUCCAUCCUUUGAUUUUUAAUAAAUUUACAGCUUUGCUUCUGAGGUGUAUCUCUUGUUGACAACUUAUUGAUGGAUCCUGUUUUUUUCAUCUAUCCUAUCACUCUCUUUCUCUUUUUGGGUGCAUUUAGGCCAUUUACAUUCAGUGUAAUUAUUGAUAGGUGUGAGUUUAUUGCUGUCAUUUUGUAGUGCUUUUUUGUGUUGCUAACAUUUUCUUUACUUUCUUGUGCUGAAUUCUUUUUGUUUGUGGAUUUCUUUUGUUUCUGUAGAUUUAGUUUUUAUUGAGACUUUAUUGAUUUAUUUUUCUUUAUUUUGAUGAGUGGGUUUGUUAACUUUCUUUGUUGUUACCUUGAAAUUUACCCUUAUCUUCCCAGGUUUGAACAAGUCUGUUAUUCUUUGGUAUUGCCUUUCCUUCUUCUCCAUUAGAAAGUUCUAUACCUGCACUGUGCAUUCCCUCUUUUAUUGUUCUGAUGUUGUUGUCAUUUACAGAUUAACCUCUCUGAUUCCCUGUUGUAAUUCUUUUGGUUUUGGAUAGUCCUUGCGAGUUCAUUUCCCAGGUUGGUAUCUGGCUGGUACAAUCUUGCACCCUAGAUUCAGGCUGUGGCCUGAUGUUGUUUGUUCUCAGACCGAAGGACUUCCUUUAAUAAUUCUUGUAUGUUUGGUUUGGUUUUUACAUAUUCCCUUAAUUUGUAUUUAUUGGGGUAUGUCCUAAUUUCACCAUUAUAUUUCAAUGGGAGUUUUGUAGGAUAUAUUAUUCUUGGUUGGCAGUUUUUUUUCUCUCAAGGUGUUGUAUAUGUCAUACCAUUGCGUUCUUCCCUGCAUGGUUUCUGCCACAUAAUCAGAAUUUAGUCUUAUUGUUUCUCCUCUAUAUGUGACUUUUUGUUUUUCUUGAGCUGCUCUCAGGAUUUUUUUUUGCCUUAGGUUUUAGUGAGUGUGAUUAUGAUAUGCCUUGGUGAUUUUGGGGGUGGGGUCCAUCCUAUAUGGGGUUUGUCGAGCUUCUUGGAUGGGCAUCUUUUUAUCUUUCAUGAUAUUAGGGAAGUUUUCUGUCAGCAGUUCUUCAGUGAUCCUUUCUAUGUGUUUCAUUUUCUCCCCCUGUUCUAGAACUCCGAUCACUUGUAGGGUUUUCCUUUUGAUUGAUUCCCACAUAAUUCUCAGGGUUUCUUCAUUUUUCUUUGUUCUUUUUUUUAAUUUUUCCUCAAACACAGUUGUAUCCAAGUGCUUGUCUUCAAUUUCUCUGAUCCUGUCUUCCAUCAUUUCAAACCUGCUCUUCAGCCCUUCUAUGACACUGUCCAUUUCUGAAAUCUUGCUGUUUAUCUUUUGAAUUUCUAAUUGUUGUUUUUGUAUGAUUUCUAGUUGUGAAUUCAUUUUGGCAUUUUGUUCCUGUAUUAUUUUCCUGAAUUCUUCUAUUUUUUGGUCUGUAUUUUCCAUGCAUUUGUAUGCCUUUUCACUAAAUUUGUCUGUUUUUUCCUCCUUUUUGUCUGCUUUUUGUUUAAACUCUUGGAUAGCUCUGAAUAUUAUAGAUUUGAAUUCCCUAUCUGAAUCCUAGUGCCUUUUCUUCUACUGGAAAGUCAUCCAGUAUUUUUAUUUUGGAUGCCUACUGGAACCAUCAAACAUAUUUUUUAAUAUGUUUUGGUGCUGUCAGCUGUCUUCAGGACAUUCAGUAGUCAUUUUCUUCAUUUAUUGGUUGUAGAUCUCUUCGUUUCACUCUGCUUUUUUGUUUUAUUUGGUUAUGUCUGACCAGGAGGGCUGUGCGUUCUUUUGUUGUUGCCUUGUUUGUGGUCACGAAACUUUUCACCUUCUUGUCAAUGGGCAGGGCCAGUCACCCAGUUAUGGUGCAAAAGGGCAGGUCCAGCUGAAGAGGAGCAUCUGGGAUGGGUUGUUUGUGGCACGUACUUGGGCUGACAGGGCAGGCCGGGAAUCUCUGCUACGCAGGUUCCGAUAGGCCGUGCCUGUGCUGCUCGGGGGUGUGAUGUUCAGCACACAGUUCAGGUAGGUAGGAAGGAGGGGAGAGGUUUUUUUUUGUUGUUGUUCUGUUUUUGAUAAUUUUUAUCGUGCUUUAAGUGAAAGUUUACAAAUCAAGUCAGUGUCUCACACAAAAACCCAUAUAUACCUUGCUACACACUCCCAGUUACUCUCCCCCUAAUGAGACAGUCCGCUCUCUCCCUCCGCUCUCUCUUUUCAUGUCUAUUUCGCCAGCUUCUAACCCCCUCCACCCUCUCAUCUCCCCUCCAGGCAGGAGAUGCCAACAUAGUCUCAAGUGUAUACCUGAUCCAAGAAGCUCACUCCUCACCAGCAUCCUUCUCCAACCCAUUGUCCAGUCCAAUCCAUGUCUGAGGAGUUGGCUUCAGGAAUGGUUCCUGUCCUGGGGCAACAGAAGGUCUGGGGGCCAUACCACUGGGGUCCUUCUAGUCUCAGUCAGACCAUUAAGUCUGUUCUUAUGAGAAUUUGGGGUCUGCAUCCCACUGCUCUCCUGCUCCCUCAGGGGUUCUCUGUUGUGUUCCCUGUCAGGGCAGUCAUCGGUUGUGGGCGGGCACCAUCUAGUUCUUCUGGUCUCAGGGUGAUGUACUCUCUGGUUUAUGUGGCCCUUUCUGCCUCUUGGGCUCGUAAUCACCUUGUGUCCUUGGUGUUCUUCAUUCUCCUUUGAUCCAGGUGGGUUGAGACCAGUUGAUGCAUCUUAGAUGGCUGCUUUCUAACCUUUAAGUCCCCAGAUGCCACUCUUCAAAAUGGGAUGCAAAAUGUUUUCUUAAUAGAUUUUGUUAUGCCAAUUGACUUAGAUGUCCCCUGAAACCAUGGUCCCCAGACCCCUGCCCCUGCUACGCUGGCCUUCAAUGUAUUCAGUUUAUUCAGGAAACUUCUUUGCUUUAGGUUUAGUCCCAUUGUGCUGACCUGAGGGGAGAGGUUUUGAUGUCUGGAGCUAAUAUGGGUAUGGGGAAGAGGAGAGAGAAACAGGAGCCAAAAAAAAAAAAAAAAAAAAAGAGUGCUAAGAGAGCUUGCUGUUGUAAUGGAGAGAUGAGAAACUUAGAAAUGGAGAAAAACAAAAAGGAAGAAAGAAAAAAAAACUAGAUGAAAAUUUGGAAGAAAGAGAAGACAAGUCCCCAGGGUUCCCACCAAUGCAGCUGCAAAAAUCGAGUAAAUAGCUCUCAGGCUGUGAAAUAUAGCCUGGCUAGAAGGAUAUAGAUGUCACACAGUGCCAGGUAUUCUGGAGACAGGAAAUAAAGGUUAAGUAUAGAAAGAUGAGAACUGAGAAAUGAAGAAAGACAGAAAGGAAAAAAGAGAAAAAAAGAAAGAAAUGUGGCCGCGCAGAUUGGGGGAGUGGCUCCUAAGCCGUGCAUUGGAGCCCAGCUAGAAGAGAUUCCCAAGCUGUGAAAAGAGAAAGAAAAUAAACAAAACAAAGCAAAAAAAAAAAAAAAAAAAAAAGCCUUGGGAAUCCCAUCAGUGUGGUGUCGUGGGCCAGGGCAGUGGUUCCCCAGUCGAAUGUUGCUUAACGCACUUUCAAGAGGAAGCGGAGAGGGCACACGGAGCCAGAUGUUCGAGAGAAAGGAGGGGGAGGCUCUGGGAUGCACAGUGAGGGGAGGUGGUUACCAGGUGCUCUGCCUCCUGCUGGGAGCUCUGUGAAGCUACUUCCCCAUGCUCCCUGUCUACUGAUCUCUUACAGGAGUCCAAGAUGGUGAAUUUGUGCUGUGUUAACUCAUAGGGGACUCUGCACAUAUCUCUCCUCGUUCUCUGUUCUCUUUCAGUUUCUUAUUCCAUUCCAUGCUUGCCUGAGUUCUUUCUUAAUUUGGCACUUCAGGUUGCAGGUCUGAUGUUUGUCUCUGUUUUGCUUAGUUUUUCAGGUCUUUGCUGUGGAGGGAAGACGUGGUGCUUCUGUCUAUGGUGCCUUGUUGGCUGGAAGUCCUAAUGAAUUAUUUUAGAAAAAUAGGAAUCAGGAAAAAAAAUCUACUCUCCAACUAUUUUGCGCAUCAGUGGCAUUCAUCUGGCAGUAAUGGACGCUGAGAUGCAAGGUGAGAGUAACAGUGGCUGUAAUCGUUAAGAUUAUGUGUCAACUUGGAUGGGCCGUGAUUCUCAGUGGCUGGUAGUUUACGUAACAAUGUAAUUUCGCAAUUAUAUAAUAAGGUAGUGAUCGUACAUUUUGUGAUCUGAUGUGGUCAUCCUCCAUUUUUGCAUAAUGCUGAGUUUUGCAUAGCAACCUGGCCUCAGGAACCUAACCAUAUCGAUAAGUGAGGAAUGGGUGUAUGUACAUUUAUAAACUAUGUUUUUCAUUUAAGUAAUUCAUUCUCUGUAUGCUAAACAUAAAAUAACUUCUCUUUGCUAGACAGUGGUAGCUAUAGAAGUGAGCAGGGACUAUACAAACUAAACUUAAAUGAUUUUGUUUGGGUGGUUCUCUUAGUCCUGAUAGGGUGUGCAGAACAAGAGUAUGGGGUAGGGUGGUAGUAUGGAGAUAUGCAAGUUUAUUAGAAUUUUUUUGUGUGUGUGCUUUAAGUGAAAAGUUUACAAGUCAAGUCAGUCUUUCAUACAAAAAUUUAUAUAUACCUUGGGGAUGUACUCCUAGUUGCUCUCCCCCUAAGGAGACAGCACACUCCUCUCCACCCUGUAUUCCCCCUAUCCAUUCAGCCACCUUCUGUCUCCCUCCAGUCAGGAGCUGCCCACAAAGUCCCAUGUGUCUGCUUGAGCAAGAAGCUCACUCCUAACCAGUAUCAUAUUCUAUCUUGUAGUCUAGUCCAAUCCCUGUCUAAAGAGUUGACUUUGGGAAUGGUUCCAGUCUUGGGCUAACAGAAGGUCUGGGGACCAUGACCUCCGGACUCCUUCUAGCCUCAGUCAGACCAUAAGUCUGGCCUUUUUACAAGAAUUUGAGGUCUGCAUUGCACUGCUUUCCGCUCCCUCAGGGGUUCUCUGUUACGUUCCCUGUCAGGGCGGUCAUUGGUUGUAGCCAGACACCAUCUAGUUUUUCUGGUGUCAGGCUGAUGUAGUCUCUGAUUUAUGUGGACCUCUCUGUCUUUUGGGCUCAUAAUUACCUUGUGUAUUUAGUGUUCUUCAUUCUCCUUUGCUCCAGGUGGUUUGAGACCAAUUGAUGCAUCUUAGAUGGCUGCUUGCUAGCAUUUAAGACCCCAGAUGCCACUCACCAAAGUGGGAUGCAGAAUGUUUUCUUAAUAGAUUUUGUUAUGCCAGGUGACCUAGAUAAUGCCCGAAACCAUGGUCCCCAGACCCUGCGCCUGCUACUCUGGCCUUCGGAGAAUUCAGUUUAAUCAGGAAACUUCUUUGCUUUUGGUUUAGUGCAAUUGUGCUGACCUCUCCUGUAUUGUGUGUUGUCUUUCCCUUCACCUGAAAUAGUUGUUAUCUACUAUCUAAUUAGUGAAUACUCCUCUCCUUCCCUCCCUACGCACUCUUGUAACCAUCAAAGAAUAUUUUCUUCUCUGUUUACACUAUUUCUUGAGUUCUUAUAAUGGUGGUCUAAUACGAUAUUUCACUCAGCAGAAUGCCUUCCAGAUUUGUCCACGUUAUGAAAUGUUCCGUGAAUUCAUCAGUGUUCUUUAUCAAUGCAUAAUAUUCCAUUGUGUGAAUAUACCAUAAUUUAUUUAUCUAUUCAUCCACUGAUGGGCACCUUGGUUGCUUCCAUCUUUUUGCUAUUGUAAACAGUGCUGCACUGAACAUGGAUGUGCGUUUAUCUGUUUGUGUAAAGGCUCUUAUUUCUCUAGGAUAUAUUCCAAGGAGUGGGAUUGCUGGAUCAUAUGGCAAUUCUAUUUCUAGCUUUUUAAGGAAGCGCUAAAUUGAUUUCCAAAGUGGUUGUAUCAUUUUACAUUCCCACCAGGAGUGUAUAAGUCUUCCAGUCUCUCCACAACCUCUCCAACAUUUAUUAUUUUGGUUUUUUGGAUUAACGGCAGCCUUCUUGGAGUGAGAUGGAAUCUCAUUGCAGUUUUGAUUUGCAUUUCUCUAAUGGCUAAUGAUCCUGAGCAUUUCCUCAAGUAUUUGUUAGCUACCUGAACGUCUUCUUUAGUGAAGUGUCUGUUCAUAUCCUUUGCCCAUUUUUUAAUUGAGUGAUUUGUCUUUUUGUAGUUGAGUUUUUGCAGUAUCAUGUAGAUUUUAGAAAUCAGGUGCCGAUUGGAAAUGUCAUAGCUAAAAACUUUUUCCCAGUCUGUAGGUAAUAUUUUACUCUUUUGGGGAAGUCUUUGGAUGAGCAUAGGUGUUGAUUUUUAGGAGCUCCCAGUUACCUAGUUUCUCUUCUGGUGUUUGUUCAUUGUUAGUAAUGUUUUUUUUUUUUAAUAAUUUUUAUUAAGCUUCAAGUGAACGUUUACAAAUCCAAUCAGUCUGUCACAUAUAAGUUUACAUACAUCUCACUCCCUACUCCCACUUGCUCUCCCCCUCUUGAGUCAGCCCUUUCAGUCUCUCCUUUCUUGACAAUUUUGCCGGCUUCCCUCUCUCUCUAUCCUCCCAUCCCCCCUCCAGACAAGAGUUGCCAACACAAUCUCAAGUGUCCACCUGAUACAAUUAGCUCACUCUUCAUCAGCGUCUCUCUCCCACCCGCUGACCAGUCACUUUCAUGUCUGAUGAGUUGUCUUCGGGGAUGGUUCCUGUCCUGUGUCAACUGAAGGUCUGGGGAGCAUGGCCGCCAGGAUUCCUCCAGUCUCAGUCAGACCAUUAAGUUUGGUCUUUUUAUGAGAAUUUGGGGUCUGCAUCCCACUGAUCUCCUGUUCCCUCAGGGGUCCUCUGCUGUGCUCCCUGUCAGGGCAGUCAUCGAUUGUGGCCAGGCACCAUCUAGUUCUUCUGGUCUCAGGAUGAUGUAGGUCUCUGGUUCAUGUGGCCCUUUCUGUCUCUUGGGCUCUUAGUUGUCAUGUGGCCUUGGUGUUCUUCAUUUUCCUUUGCUCCAGGUGGGUUGAGACCAAUUGCUGCAUCUUAGAUGGCCGCUUGUUAGCAAUGAAGACCCCAGACGCCACAUUUCAAAGUGGGAUGCAGAAUGAUUUCAUAAUAGAAUUAUUUUGCCAAUUGAUUUAGAAGUCCCCGCAAACCAUGUUCCCCAGACCCCCACACUUGCUCCGCUGACCUUUGAAGCAUUCAUUUUAUCCCGAAAACUUCCUUGCUUUUGGUCCAGUCCAAUUGAGCUGACCUUCCGUGUAUUGAGUGUUGUCUUUCCCUUCACCCAAAGCAGUUCUUAUCUACUGAUUAGUCAAUAAAAAACCCUCUCCCACCCUCCCUCCCUUCCCGCCUCGUAACCACAAAAGUAUGUGUUCUUCUCAGGUUUACUAUUUCUCAAGAUCUUAUAAUAGUGGUCUUAUACAAUAUUUGUCCUUUUGCCUCUGACUCAUUUCGCUCAGCAUAAUGCCUUCCAGGUUCCUCCAUGUUAUGAAAUGUUUCAGAGAUUCGUCACUGUUCUUUAUCGAUGCGUAGUAUUCCAUUGUGUGAAUAUACCACAAUUUAUUUACCCAUUCAUCCAUUGAUGGACACCUUGGUUGCCUCCAACUUUUUGCUAUUGUAAACAGAGCUGCAAUAAACAUGGGUGUGCAUGUAUCUGUUUGUAUGAAGGCUCUUGUAUCUCUAGGGUAUAUUCCUAGGAGUGGGAUUUCUGGGUUGUAUGGUAGUUCUAUUUCUAACUGUUUAAGAUAACGCCAGAUAGAUUUCCAAAGUGGUUGUACCAUUUUACAUUCCCACCAGCAGUGUAUGAGAGUUCCAAUCUCUCCGCAGCCUCUCCAACAUUUAUUAUUUUGUGUUUUUUGGAUUAAUGCCAGCCUUGCUGGUGUGAGAUGGAAUCUCAUCGUAGUUUUAAUUUGCAUUUCUCUAAUGGCUAAUGAUCGGGAGCAUUUUCUCAUGUAUCUGUUGGCUGCCUGAAUAUCUUCUUUAGUGAAAUGUGUGUUCAUAUCCUUUGCCCACUUCUUGAUUGGGUUGUUUGUCUUUUUGUGGUUGAGUUUUGACAGAAUCAUGUAGAUUUUAGAGAUCAGGCGCUGGUCGGAGAUGUCAUAGCUGAAAAUUCUUUCCCAGUCUGUAGGUGGUCUUUUUACUCUUUUGGAGAAGUCUUUAGAUGAGCAUAGGUGUCUGAUUUUUAGGAGCUCCCAGUUAUCGGGUUUCUCUUCAUCAUUUUUGGUAAUGUUUUGUAUUCUGUUUAUACCUUGUAUUAGGGCUCCUAGGGUUGUCCCGAUUUUUUCUUCCAUGAUCUUUAUCGUUUUAGUCUUUAUGUUUAGGUCUUUGAUCCACUUGGAGUUAGUUUUUGUGCAUGGUGUGAGGUAUGGGUCCUGUUUCAUUUUUUUGCAAAUGGAUGUCCAGUUAUACCAGCACCAUUUGUUAAAAAGGCUAUCUUUUCCCCAGUUAAUUGACACUGGUCCUUUGUCAAAUAUCAGCUGCUCAUACGUGGAUGGAUCUAUGUCUGGGUUCUCAAUUCUGUUCCAUUGGUCUAUGUGUCUGUUGUUGUACCAAUACCAGGCUGUUUUGACUACUGUGGCUGUAUAAUAGGUUCUGAAGUCAGGUAAGGUGAGGCCUCCCACUUUGUUCUUCUUUUUCAGUAGUGCUUUGCUUAUCCGGGGCUUCUUUCCCUUCCAUAUGAAAUUGGUGAUUUGUUUCUCUAUCCCCUUAAAAUAUGACAUUGGAAUUUGGAUCGGAAGUGCGUUAAAUGUAUAGAUGGCUUUUGGUAGAAUAGACAUUUUUACUAUGUUAAGUCUUCCUAUCUAUGAGCAGGGUAUGUUUUUCGACUUAAGUAUGUCCUUUUGAAUUUCUUGUAGUAGAGCUUUGUAGUUUUCUUUGUAUAGGUCUUUUACAUUCUUGGUAAGAUUUAUUCCUAAGUAUCUUAUCUUCUUGGGGGCUACUGUGAAUGGUAUUGAUUUGGUUAUUUCCUCUUCGGUGUUCUUUUUGUUGAUGUAGAGGAAUCCAAGUGAUUUUUGUAUGUUUAUUUUAUAACCUGAGACUCUGCCAAACUCUUCUAUUAGUUUCAGUAGUUUUCUGGAGGAUUCCUUAGGGUUUUCUGUGUAUAUAAUCAUGUCAUCUGCAAAUAGUGAUAACUUUACUUCUUCCUUGCCAAUCCGGAUACCUUUUAUUUCUUUGUCUAGCCUAAUUGCCCUCUUAUUCAACACGAUGUUGAAUAAGAGCGGUGAUAAAGGGCAUCCUUGUCUGGUUUCCGUUCUCAAGGGAAAUGCUUUCAGGUUCUCUCCAUUUAGAGUGAUAUUGGCUGUUGGCUUUGCAUAGAUGCCCUUUAUUAUGUUGAGGAAUUUUCCUUCAAUUCCUAUUUUGGUAAGAGUUUUUAUCAUGAAUGGGUGUUGGACUUUGUCAAAUGCCUUUUCUGCAUCAGUUGAUAAGAUCAUGUGGUUUUGUCUUUUGUUUUAUUUAUGUGAUGGAUUACAUUAAUGGUUUUUCUGAUAUUAAACCAGCCUUGCAUACCUGGUAUAAAUCCCACUUGAUCAGGGUGAAUUAUUUUUUUGAUGUGUUGUUGGAUUCUAUUGGCUAGAAUUUUGUUGAGGAUUUUUGCAUCAAUGUUCAUGAGGGAUAUAGGUCUAUAAUUUUCUUUUUUUGUAAUGUCUUUACCUGGUUUUGGUAUCAGGGAGAUGGUGGCUUCAUAGAAUGAGUUGGGUAGUAUUCCGUCAUUUUCUAUGCUUUGGAAUACCUUUAGUAAUAGUGGUGUUAACUCUUCUCUGAAAGUUUGGUAGAACUCUGCAGUGAAGCCGUCCGGGCCAGGGCUUUUUUUUUGUUGGGAGUUUUUUGAUUACCGUUUCAAUCUCUUUUUUUGUUAUGGGUCUAUUUAGUUGUUCUACUUCUGAAUGUGUUAGUUUAGGUAGGUAGUGUUUUUCCAGGAAUUCAUCCAUUUCUUCUAGGUUUUCAAAUUUGUUAGAGUACAAUUUUUCAUAAUAAUCUGAAAUGAUUCUUUUAAUUUCAUUUGGUUCUGUUGUGAUGUGGUCCUUCUCAUUUCUUAUUCGGGUUAUUUGUUUCCUUUCCUGUAUUUCUUUAGUCAGUCUAGCCAAUGGUUUAUCAAUUUUGUUAAUUUUUUCAAAGAACCAGCUUUUGGUUUUGUUAAUUCUUUCAAUUGUUUUUCUGUUCUCUAAUUCAUUUAGUUCAGCUCUAAUUUGUAUUAUUUGUUUUCUUCUGGUGCCUGAUGGAUUCUUUUGUUGCUCAGUUUCUAUUUGUUCAAGUUGUCGGGACAGUUCUCUGCUUUUGGCUCUUUCUUCUUUUUGUAUGUGUGCAUUUACUGAUAUAAAUUGGCCUCUGAGCACUGCUUUUGCUGUGUCCCAGAGGUUUUGAUAGGAAGUAUUUUCAUUCUCGUUGCUUUCUAUGAAUUUCCUUAUUCCCUCCUUGAUGUCUUCUAUAACCCAGUCUUUUUUCAGGAGGGUGUUGUUCAUUUUCCAAGUAUUUGAUUUCUUUUCCCUAGUUUUUCUGUUAUUGAUCUCUAGUUUUAUUGCCUUGUGGUCUGAGAAGAUGCUUUGUAAUAUUUUGAUGUUUUGGACUCUGCAAAGAUUUGUUUUAUGACCUAAUAUGUGGUCUAUUCUAGAGAAUGUUCCAUGUGCGCUAGAAAAAAAGGUAUAUUUUGCAGCAGUUGGGUGGAGAGUUCUGUAUAAGUCAAUGAGGUCAAGUUGGUUGAUUGUUGUAAUUAGAUCUUCCGUGUCUCUGUUGAGCUUCUUACUGGAUGUCCUGUCCUUCUCUGAAAGUGGUGUGUUGAAGUCUCCUACUAUAAUUGUGGAGGUAUCUAUCUCCCUUUUCAAUUCUGUUAAAAUUUGAUUUAUGUAUCUUGCAGCCCUGUCAUUGGGUGCAUAAAUAUUUAAUAUGGUUAUGUCUUCCUGAUCAAUUGUCCCUUUUAUCAUUAUAUAGUGUCCUUCUUUAUCCUUUGUGGUGGAUUUUAGUCUAAAGUCUAUUUUGUCAGAAAUUAAUAUUGCUACUCCUCUUCUUUUUUGCUUAUUGUUUGCUUGAUAUACUUUUUUCCAUCCUUUGAGUUUUAGUUUGUUUGUGUCUCUACGUCUAAGGUGUGUCUCUUGUAGGCAGCAUAUAGAUGGAUCGUGUUUCUUUAUCCAGUCUGUGACUCUCUGUCUCUUUAUUGGUGCAUUUAGUCCAUUUACAUUCAGGGUAAUUAUAGGUAAAUAAGUUUUUAGUGCUGUCAUUUUGAUGCCUUUUUAUGUGUGUUGUUGACAAUUUCAUUUUUCCACAUACUUUUUUGUGCUGAGGCGUUUUUCUUAGUAAAUUGUGAGAUCCUCAUUUUCAUAGUGCUUGACUUUAUGUUAGUUGAGUCGUUACGUUUUUCUUGGUUUUUAUCUUGAGUUAUAGAGUUGUUAUACCUUUUUGUGGUUACCUUAUUAUUUACCCCUAUUUUUCUAAGUAAAAACCUAACUUGUAUUGAUCUAUAUCGCCUUGUAUCACUCUCCAUAUGGCAGUUCAAUGCCUCCUGUAUUUAGUCCCUCUUUUUGAUUAUUGUGAUCUUUUACCUAUUGACUUCCAUGAUUCCCUGUUAUGUGUAUUUUUUUUUUUUAAUUAAUCUUAAUUUGUUUUUGUGAUUUCCCUAUUUGAGUUGAUAUCAGGACGUUCUGUUUUGUGACCUUGUGUUGUGCUGGUAUCUGAUAUUAUUGGUUCUCUGACCAAACAAUAUCUUUUAGUAUUUCUUGUAGCUUUGGUUUGGUUUUUGCAAAUUCUCUAAACUUGUGUUUGUCUGUAAAUAUCUUAAUUUCGCCUUCAUAUUUCAGAGAGAGUUUUGCUGGAUAUAUGAUCCUUGGCUGGCAGUUUUUCUCCUUCAGUGUUCUGUAUAUGUCGUCCCAUUCCCUUCUUGCCUGCAUGGUUUCUGCUGAGUAGUCAGAACAUAUUCUUAUUGAUUCUCCCUUGAAGGAAACCUUUCUUUUCUCCCUGGCUGCUUUUAAAAUUUUCUGGUUAUCUUUGGUUUUGGUGAGUUUGAUGACAAUAUGUCUUGGUGUUUUUCUUUUUGUAUCAAUCUUAAACGGGGUUCGAUGAGCAUCUUGGAUAGAUAUCCUUUCGUCUUUCAUGAUGUCAGGGAAGUUUUGUGUCAGGAGUUCUUCAACUAUUUUCUCUGUGUUUUCUGUCCCCCCUCCCUGUUCUGGGACUCCAAUCACCCGCAGGUUAUCCUUCUUGAUAGAGUCCCACAUAAUUCUUAGGGUUUCUUCAUUUUUUUAAAUUCUUUUAUCUGAUUUUUUUUCAGCUAUGUUGGUGUCGAUUCCCUGGUCCUCCAGAUGUCCCAGUCUGCAUUCUAAUUGCUCGAGUCUGCUCCUCUGACUUCCUAGUUAGUAAUGUUUUUUAUGCUGUAUAUGCCACGUAUUAGGGCUCCUAGUGUUAUCCGUGUUUUUUCUUCCAUGAUCUUCAUUGUUUCAGAUUUUAUAUUUAGGUCUUUGAUCCAUUUUAAGUUAGUUUUUGUGCAUGGUGUGAGGUAUGGGUCUUGUUUCAUUUUUUUGCAGGUGGAUAUCCAGUUAUGGCAGCACCAUUUGUUAAAAAGACUGUCUUUUCCCCAUUUAACUGACUUUGGGCCUUUGUUAAAUAUAGCUGUUUAUAAAUGGUUGGAUUUAUGUCUGGAUUCUUAAUUCUGUUCCAUUGGUCUGUGCAUCUGUUGUUGUGCCAGUACCAGGCUGUUUUGACUACUGUGGAGGUGUAAGAUGUUCUAAAAUCAGGUAGUGUGAGGCCUCCCACUUUGUUCUUCUUUUUCAGCAAUGCUUUGUUUAUCCAGAGCCUCUUUCCCGUCUGUAUGAAGUUGGUGAUUUGUUUCUCCAUCUUGUUAAAAAAUGUCACUGGAAUUUAGAUUGGAAUUGCAUUGUGCUCUAUGGAUUGCUUUUGGUAGAAUAGACAUUUUCACCAUUUUGAGUCUUCCUAUCCAUGAGCAAGGUAUGUUUUUCUGCUUAUGUAGGUCUCUUUUGGUUUCUUGCAGUACUGUGUUGUAGUUUUCUUCGUAUAGGUCUUUUACAUCUCUGGUUAGAUUUAUUCCUAAGUAUUUUAUCUUCUUGGGGGCUACUAUAAAUGGUAUUUAUUUGGUGAUUUUGUCUUUGACGUUCUCUUUGUUGGUAUAGAGGAAUCCAGCAAGUUUGUUAGAAAUUUUGACUUGAAUUGCUUCCUUAGUGAAUAUUUAUGAGUAUGUGCCUCAGAGCAGUUGGCUAUUCAGAUUUAGAGUUAAAAUUGAGAGGUUUCAUCUGAAAAAAAGGUGAGCAUUAUUCCAUGUUGCUGCAUAGCCUUUAUAGCAGUCUUUUUAAAUAGCUGUAUAAUAGGCUAGCCCUUAGUGUUGAAUAUUUAGGUCUCUUCUGAUUUUUAACUUCAGUGAAUACCACUGCAAUAAAAUACUUUUGUUUAUAUAGCUUUCUCAGUAUUUCAAAUUAUUAUGAUUGAAUUUGAAAAGUUCAAUUACUGAGUUUUAAAAGAUGAUGUUUUAAAAAUUUUUUGAUAAAAUUCCUUUAAAAAGUGUUAUAUUAAUUUAUAGUAAUGUGCAAUACCCAUUUUAUGUCAUUUUUUCAUUUAAAAUUAUGUAUAAAUUUGAUAGGUUUUUUUAUUUACAUUUUUUACUUUUAUUUCCUCUGGUGCUAACAUUUAACAUAAUUUGAGAAAAAGUGUUGUUGACUCUUGUUCUGGCAGGGUCCACUGGCUCCAUUUUUUGUUUUUGAACACUUCCUUUGAAAGGAUUGGUGUUUUAUGAUUUUUAUUCUUUCUUAGAAGCUUUCAAAAAAGCAAAGCGAAACCCCUUUCCCCCAUUUUUUAAAACUGAAUAAAACUUAUUCUGUGUUGCUAUUACUAUAUGGGUUGAUAGGACUCUUAUAAAUUUGAGAUAUAUAUUAUGGAAUCUUAAGGAUUAUAUUUCCCUGUAUCUUGAAACAUUUUAAUAUUUUAUCAUUCUGGGAAUUAUUUUUUAUUACCCACUAAUUAUUCCCAACUAUGCCAAAAAAAAAAAAGACUAAAUAAGAAAAUAGAACAUUAAUGAAAUCACCUGGAUUAGGAUGAGAUUAUAGUGACAUAAAUCAUCACCAUUCAUUUUUCUUAUUGUGGGGCCCUGUAUUAGUCUAUCUUUCAAGCAUGUGUUUAAAAGGUAACAACUAUUGGUCUUUGCGUGUCUGGAGUAAUAAGAGAAUGAAGGCAAAGACUCAGAAGAAACUAGUUUACAGGGUACACAAACCACGACCUCAUCAUCCCUGAGACCAGAAGAACUAGAUGGUACCUGGCUACCACUACGGACCAUCCUGAUCAGGAAUACAAUAAGUAGAUGGAUCUUGAUAGAAUGGGAUUAAAAAUGGAAUAGAACUCAGAUUUUUAAAAUGUCCAGACCUACUGGACUACUUGAGACUGAAGGACUCCUAAGACUAUCACCUAGCGAUGCUCUUUAAACCUUGAACCAAAACUAUUCUGUGAAGUUAUCUUUUAACUAAAUAAUAAACUGGCUCAUAAAAUGAACAGUAUCACCCAUGAGUACUGUGCUCCUUUAAAAAAUCAUGUAUGUGAUACCAAGUGGUUAACCCUUACUCUAAAGAAAGAUGGGAAGGUAAGGGGGCAGGGAAACUAAAUUCCUGGAAAUGGAACAACCAGGACAGAAAUAAUGAGAAAGUUGACACACUGUGUAAAAUGUCCCUGAAGAAAUUAUGUAGAAAUUGUUAAAUGAGAACCUAAUUUGCUAUGUAAACUUCACCAAAAACACAAUACAAUAUUAUUUGAAAAAUAAUAAUAAAAGAAUUUGAAGACAAUGGUAUGUGUGAAUUGUGGUAGGAAGCUCGCCAAGGCUGGUAAGACUACUGCUGGCAGGGAACAGAGUUUAACUUCAGCUUUAACUUGUUUCAUUUACCAUGUUUUACAUGAUUUUCAAGCGUAACACACAGUUGCCACAUAGAAGAUUAUAUCUGGUGUCUUUUGAUAGCAGUGAAAAACUUCUUUGCGUUGAAACAAGUAAAUAUCCUCACUCUUAAAAUUAAUCAGGAAUAAAAGAUGAUGAAAGUGGAUGGGAAACUUCUCAUUUCCCUAUUAUAUAUGUUGUAGUUUCCUAUAAAUAAUGCCCAAAAAGAGAAAAUAUCAGAAAUGUAAAAAAAAAAAAAAAGAA